UGCAGUUUGUGGGCUGUGCUGUGAAGACAGAGUAAGUGCUCUGAGGAGCAGCACAUGAGAAAUCACUGAGAAGGAAAAAGUACUGGAUGUUAAGUGUGGACUGUCUUCUCUUGCUUGGAUGAGAUAACUCCCAGGUUUAGACACAGAUUUAACAAGAAACCAAGAGUUUUAUCACAGUUUCCUUGGAGUUAAAGCCAUUUGCAAAGCAUCCAGCAUUUUCUCACUGGAGUGCAGAUGGGGCUGGAAACAGACAUUGCCAUCAGCUUAGUCCCCACAGCUGUACUUGCCUAACAGAGACUUUGCUCAGGUGUACAAACUGAUGCCUGCAGCCUCCAGAUCGAAGGGAUUAAAUGACUUACUAACCUCAUAUUCUCUUUCUGGCUGAGGGAUAUGAAAGAAUUUUCCUUGGGAAAGGGAGAAUACAACCCUGAGUCACAAGAAGGUGAAGAUUGGAAAGGACCUUCUUGUCCAGCCUGUUCAAGCUGGCCCACCUGCAGCUAGUCAUCCAGGAUCUUGUGUAGAGGGCUCUUUUUGACUUGAAAAGGUGUUGAAAAUGUACAAACUUAAAGACAAGUCCUGGCACAGGCACCUGUUAUCCAGCAUAAUUGUAGCUGAAAUGGAAAUAGUCCCAUAAACCGCAGGAGGUGGACCAAAAUCUCUCUGCUUCCCGUGCAUUUUGGCAUGAUGCAAAGCUACAUGUAUAAACACACAGGGAGUAUUUUUUGAGAGAUGAUUUUAACUGAAAAGAAAACACGUGCAGGAUGCUUUCAAAGACUUAAUCCAUCUUAAUAAGUAGA